rnacentral:rRNA from 1 species
GCGCACCAGUCGCGAAUACUUUACAAUGUGCGAAAGCACGAUAAGGGAACUCUGAGUGCCUCCUAAGGAGGCUGUUCUGAUGUCUAAAAAGCAACAGAAGUAAGGGCUGGGUAAGACCGGUGCCAGCCGCCGCGGUAACACCGGCAGCCCAAGUGGUAGCCACGUUUAUUGGGUCUAAAGCGUUCGUAGCCGGCCAGGUAAGUUCCUUGGUAAAUUUAGCCGCUUAACGGUUAAGCUUUCAGGGAAUACUGCUUGGCUUGGGACUGGGAGAGGUCAGAGGUACUCCGGGGGUAGGGGUGAAAUCUAUUAAUCCCUGGGGGACCACCGGUAGCGAAGGCGUCUGACCAGACCAGGUCCGACGGUGAGGGACGAAGGCUAGGGGCGCGAACCGGAUUAGAUACCCGUGUAGU